rnacentral:rRNA from 1 species
GAUGAACGCUGGCGGCGUGCCUAAUACAUGCAAGUCGAGCGAACAGACGAGGAGCUUGCUCCUCUGACGUUAGCGGCGGACGGGUGAGUAACACGUGGAUAACCUACCUAUAAGACUGGGAUAACUUCGGGAAACCGGAGCUAAUACCGGAUAAUAUAUUGAACCGCAUGGUUCAAUAGUGAAAGACGGUUUUGCUGUCACUUCUAGCUGGAUCCGCGCCGCAUUAGCUAGUUGGUAAGGUAACGGCUUACCAAGGCAACGAUGCGUAGCCGACCUGAGAGGGGGAUCGGCCACACUGGAACUGAGACACGGUCCAGACUCCUACGGGAGGCAGCAGUAGGGAAUCUUCCGCAAUGGGCGAAAGCCUGACGGAGCAACGCCGCGUGAGUGAUGAAGGUCUUCGGAUCGUAAAACUCUGUUAUUAGGGAAGAACAAAUGUGUAAGUAACUAUGCACGUCUUGACGGUACCUAAUCAGAAAGCCACGGCUAACUACGUG